GACAGAGGGGGCAAGCGUUGUUCGGAAUUACUGGGCGUAAAGGGCGCGUAGGCGGCCCGCUAAGUCGAACGUGAAAGCCCCGGGCUCAACCUGGGAAUGGCAGUGGAUACUGGCGAGCUAGAGUGUGAUAGAGGAUGGUGGAAUUCCCGGUGUAGCGGUGAAAUGCGUAGAGAUCGGGAGGAACAUCAGUGGCGAAGGCGGCCAUCUGGAUCAACACUGACGCUGAGGCACGAAAGCGUGGGGAGCAAACAGG
rnacentral:rRNA from 1 species